GAUGAAGAACGUAGCGAAAUGCGAUAAGUAAUGUGAAUUGCAGAAUUCAGUGAAUCAUCGAAUCUUUGAACGCACAUUGCGCCCGCCAGUAUUCUGGCGGGCAUGCCUGUUCGAGCGUCAUUUCAACCAUCAAGCCCUGCUUGCGUUGGGGUCCUGCGGCUGCCCGCAGGCCCUGAAAACCAGUGGCGGGCUCGCUAGUCACACCGAGCGCAGUAAUACAUCUCGCUCUGGGCGUGCUGCGGGUUCCGGCCGUUAAACCACCUUCAUAACCCAAGGUUGACCUCGGAUCAGGUAGGAAGACCCGCUGAACUUAAGCAUAUCAAUAAGCGGAGGA
rnacentral:misc_RNA from 1 species